rnacentral:lncRNA from 14 species
AUGGAAACUGGCAUCGUGCUGGAGCUGGAGCUGGGGCUCUGAGAGCUGGCGCUCUUGGAGCCGAAGUUCUGGGAGCCGAGGCUCUGGGAGCCGAGGCUCUGGGAGCCGAAGCUCUGAGAGCCGGUGCGGUCCUGGGUCCUGGAACUGUUGCUAUUGGAACUGAAGCUAUUUGAACUGGUGGGUAUGAUCCUGAAGCUGAAACUAGAGCUUUUGGGACUGGACCUGGAUCUUGGAAUACAUCGACAACUUCAUAGCUAAUCUCGAUAAUUCCGCUAAAGAGCUUCUAUACAGACGGUUAAUGGUGGUUCUCAGUUUGCUAACUGCCACCUUUAGAGCUCUGAAUAAUCCCAACAAUAAACGCUGGAGUAUUUUUAUAAGUUCGGAUUCUAUUAAUGCAAAUAAGUGCCACACAAAUUGGAGCAAGUUGGUCGAUUCCCCAUGUGUGGUAUCAAAGGAAACUUGAUCAAAGUGUACUGUAGCUUCGGAAAAAGGGCAAUGAGUGGAGCGCAGAAGCUUCAUCUCGGCCCUCAUUUACUACAGUACCCACUUUCGCAAUUUUGGUUUGGUGGGAAUUAACUUGUGAAGGACAAGAUGACGAAGAGGGUAAUGAAGCUCCGUGAACUAGAGAAAAGCAUUGAAUUUGUUGGGAAAACAGAAAAAUUUUUUAUUUGGCAAAAAAUUAUCUGUUUCCGAUUCUCUUUUUCAAUGAUUCAAAUUUGCGGACCAAUUAAAUGUAAUGAAUCUUCAUUAAACGCUAAUGAGGGAAGAAGAAGAGGAGUAGGAAGAGCACAGCUCAAGUGAUACAGAUGAAGAGAGAGAUGAAGAUGAAGACUGAAGAUGAAGAUGAAGACAGAUGAAGACUUAACAAUUCAUUUAUUCAUACUUAUUUUCAUCAGCUACACAAAAAUAUGGCAUUGAUUAAAAAUUGUACA